GGGGGGGUGCCGGGGUGGCUGAAGGACCCCCCCUGGAAAGUGUUUAUACGGAAACGUAGGGGGGGUUCAAACCCCCCCCUCACCGCCA
rnacentral:tRNA from 1 species